rnacentral:lncRNA from 1 species
AUUUUUGAUCGAUAUGGAUACUUCAAAGUCUUGAAUAUGUAUGAAAUAUUUCCUACUGGUAGUUACGCAAGCAAAAAUAAACAAUACAAAAUAGGUAUUUGGUUGAGAAAAUAGUGCCUAUAGUAUAUUAUAUAAUGCGUUGGUCACCCGUUUAAAUUUAAGAAGAGAGGGAAGGGAGGAAGCAAUUCAUGUUGCUUAAAUAACAUAGUUUUUGUGUUUUGUGCUUUUAUCUUUUAUCUUUUUUUAAAUGUUGUUGGUUUUUUUUUGGGGGGGGGGGGUGUGUGUGAUGAUAAGUGAAAGGAUUUUAAUGAAAAAGACUUCUAUUGUUUACAACGGAGUACUUAAAUCAAGAAAGAGAAUGAUUGCGUGAAAAAUAAUUAUAUUCAUCUGAUAUGUUUACAAGCUUUGUAUAAUAUCGAGGUGUAACUCCUCAGGUACAACAAUUUUACUGCCUCCUUCAAUUUCAGCACAAAUGAACCGUAUUGCAGAUGAAUAGCAAAUCGCAGUUCUACGCUUCACAAGUUUGAAAAUAAACGGUUGAUCUUUUAUCCUCUAGUAAUAUAGCCCUUUCACAACUUUAGAAUCUUGGUUAAAUGAACAACCCCAGUCAUCUGAAAUAUUUUACCUAUUUAUUGACAAAUUACCAUAUGUUUUUUUUUUUUUAUUUUAGAUAAUUAUUCAUUUUCUAUUUGAUUAUAACUACUAUUAUAUAUUACAGUUCUUAUCGUGGUUUCUAUGAUUCUAUCUAUUUUCGAAAUUUGUAAUUUGGUUAUUUUGUUUUGUCCUCUGAUCUUAAAACAUGAAAUCGAACCGUACUUGUUAUUUAAAAAAAUGAAAUAUCGUUCAUAUAUCAUAUGAUAAUACGAACUGCUUUCAAUUUCGAUGGCCAAGGAGGGUGAUUGGCCUAAUGAGUUCAUAUAAAGUGAUAAAAAGCCUGCGGCGAUUUUAAGAUAAGCUCGUGGCGAGAUUUGUUCGACUCCGAUCCUAAUCGACAGUUAUUGCAAAUAUUUUAACUUAAGGUCGCCUGAUGUCCGGCUUCUCCUACCUAUGAUGACAGGUCAAUAAAAUACAACAAAUGUCGUUUAUACAUGUACAUGAUGUAGUGGUGUUUAACACCAAAACAAAGAACAAACUUUUAGAAAUAAUUUGAAAAUACAUAUAUGUAUAGCGUCCCGAAUCGAAAACGUUCAAAACGUAAGAAAAUUGUUCAGUGGACAAACUUGCAAGACAUUUGAUUUGUUAAAAAACGAAGUCAUUUCGACUUAACAGCUUAUCAAAAAGUAUGUUAUCGUAUUGUGGGGUGAAAGCACAAUUACGCAAAAGCACUAUUUGUAUGCUACAAAUAGAAUAUUUAAUAUAAUGACGUUGAAACUGACAGUGUUUUGGUAAAAAGCGGCGAAAUUCGACAUUGGACAAUCUUGCAAGACAUUUUCCCGAAGCCAAUGCGUUUUUAUUUGUGGUGCGAGUGCUGUAAAAUUCCGGAUUUGAAAUGGUCUAUCUAAGCACUUUUGUAGGAAUAAUUUAUGAAAACAAAAUUUUAUAUCAUCUGAUAUUUUAAAAAGCGAUAACUUUUGAUAACUUACCAUUUUCCGAAACCUGACCAUGGCGAGGAUUAUUCAUUUUUGAAAAAAAUCAGCUUUGACCGUUCCAUCAACACAAAAAACAGCAAUGACAUAAUAAAUUAUAUAUGACGUUUAUCAUUCAUGC